rnacentral:rRNA from 1 species
GGAUUAGAUACCCUGGUAGUCCACGCUGUAAACGAUGAGGACUAGCUGUUGGCCAUAUUAAAAUGGUUAGUAGCGCAGCAAACGCGAUAAGUUCUCCGCCUGGGGAGUACGGCCGCAAGGCUAAAACUCAAAGGAAUUGACGGGGGCCCGCACAAGCGGUGGAGCAUGUGGUUUAAUUCGAUGCAACGCGAAGAACCUUACCUACCCUUGACAUCCUAGGAAUCCUGUAGAGAUACGGGAGUACUUCGGUACCUAGUGACAGGUGCUGCAUGGCUGUCGUCAGCUCGUGCCG